AUUGAACGCUGGCGGCAUGCUUUACACAUGCAAGUCGAACGGCAGCGCGGGCUUCGGCCUGGCGGCGAGUGGCGAACGGGUGAGUAAUGCAUCGGAACGUGCCCAGUAGUGGGGGAUAGCCCGGCGAAAGCCGGAUUAAUACCGCAUACGACCUGAGGGUGAAAGCGGGGGACCGAAAGGCCUCGCGCUAUUGGAGCGGCCGAUGUCGGAUUAGCUAGUUGGUGGGGUAAAGGCUUACCAAGGCGACGAUCCGUAGCUGGUCUGAGAGGACGACCAGCCAAACUGGGAAUGAGACACGGCCCAGACUCCUACGGGAGGCAGCAGUUGGGAAUUUUGGACAAUGGGGGCAACCCUGAUCCAGCCAUGCCGCGUGCGGGAAGAAGGCCUUCGGGUUGUAAACCGCUUUUGUUCGGGAAGAAAUCCUCUGGGCUAAUACCCCGGGGGGAUGACGGUACCGGAAGAAUAAGCCCCGGCUAACUACGUG
rnacentral:rRNA from 1 species